rnacentral:rRNA from 1 species
GACGAACGCUGGCGGCGUGCCUAAUACAUGCAAGUCGAACGCAGUGGGGACGGGUGAGUAACACGUGGGUAACCUCCCAUCAGAGGGGAUAACACUUGGAAACAGGUGCUAAACCGAUACUGAUGGAUGGACCCGCGGUGCAGUAGCUGUGUGGUGAGGUAACGGCUAACCAAGGCCACGAUGCAUAGCCGGCCUGAGAGGGGGAUCGGGGAAACUGGGACUGGGACACGGCCAAGACUCCUACGGGAGGCAGGAGUGGGGAAGCUUCGGCAAUGGACGAAAGUCUGACCGAGCAACGCCGCGUGAGUGAAGAAGGUUUUCGGAUCGUAAAGCUCUGUUGUUAGAGAAGCGGUAUCUAACCAGAAAGCCACGGCUAACUACGUGCCAGCCGCCGCGGUAAUUC